rnacentral:rRNA from 1 species
UACGUAGGGUGCGAGCGUUGUCCGGAAUUACUGGGCGUAAAGGGCGCGUAGGCGGCUUGACAAGUCACUUGUGAAAUCUCUGGGCUUAACCCAGAACGGCCAAGUGAAACUGUCGAGCUAGAGUGUAGAAGGGGCAAUCGGAAUUCUUGGUGUAGCGGUGAAAUGCGUAGAUAUCAAGAGGAACACCUGAGGUGAAGACGGGUUGCUGGUCUAACACUGACGCUGAGGCGCGAAAGCCAGGGGAGCAAACGGG